rnacentral:rRNA from 1 species
CCUACGGGAGGCAGCAGUGAGGAAUAUUGGUCAAUGGCCGGAAGGCUGAACCCGCCAAGUCGCGUGAGGGACGACUGCCCUCUGGGUUGUAAACCUCUUUUAUAAGGGAAGAAUAAAUGCUACGUGUAGCCUGAUGCCUGUACCUUAUGAAUAAACAUCGGCUAACUCCGUGCCAGCAGCCGCGGUAAUACUGAGGAUGCGAGCGUUCUCCGGAUUUAUUUGGUUUAAAGGGUGCGUAGGCGGUUUUUUAAGUUAGUGUUUAAACGUCGGGGCUUCACCUUGAUUUGCCAUUAAUACUGUAAGACUCGAGUUCAGACGAGGUAGGCGGAAUAAGUUAAGUAGCGGUGAAAUGCUUAGAUAUAACUUAGAACUCCGAUAGCGAAGGCAGCUUACCAGACUGCGACUGACGCUGAAGCACGAGAGCGUGGGUAGCGAACAGGAUUAGAUACCCCAGUAGUC